UUCGGGUUAGCUCAGCUGGUAGAGCUCUCCGCUAAAAUUGGAGAGGUUUCUGGUUCGAUACCAGGAGUAGGUG
rnacentral:tRNA from 1 species